CGGGGUGAGUAAUGCUUGGGAAUCUAGCUUAUGGAGGGGGAUAACUACGGGAAACUGUAGCUAAUACCGCGUAGUAUCGGAAGAUGAAAGUGUGGGACCUUCGGGCCACAUGCCAUAGGAUGAGCCCAAGUGGGAUUAGGUAGUUGGUGAGGUAAAGGCUCACCAAGCCGACGAUCUCUAGCUGGUCUGAGAGGAUGACCAGCCACACUGGGACUGAGACACGACCCAG
rnacentral:rRNA from 1 species